rnacentral:rRNA from 1 species
UACGGAGGAUGCGAGCGUUAUCCGGAAUCAUUGGGUUUAAAGGGUGCGUAGGCUGGUAUUUAAGUCAGUGGUGAAAUUUUCGUGCUUAACAUGAGAGCUGCCAUUGAUACUGGGUACCUAGAGUGUAUUUGAUGUGGGCGGAAUGUGUUGUGUAGCGGUGAAAUGCUUAGAUAUAACACAGAACACCGAUUGCGAAGGCAGCUUACUGGGAUACAACUGACGCUGAUGCACGAAAGCGUGGGGAUCAAACAGG